GCGGAUGCAGCAAUGCAUUAGCGGCGGACGGGUGAGUAACACGUGGGCAACCUGGCCUUAAGAGGGGGAUAACGUUCCGAAAGGGACGCUAAUACCGCGUAAAUCAGCGAAAUCGCAUGAUUUUGUUGGAAAAGGAGAAAUCCGCUUAAGGAUGGGCCCGCGGCCUAUUAGCUAGUUGGUAGGGUAACGGCCUACCAAGGCGACGAUAGGUAGCCGACCUGAGAGGGUGAACGGCCACACUGGAACUGAGAAACGGUCCAGACUCCUACGGGAGGCAGCAGUAGGGAAUAUUCCGCAAUGGGCGAAAGCCUGACGGAGCAACGCCGCGUGAGUGAAGAAGGUCUUCGGAUCGUAAAGCUCUGUCAACAGGGACGAAACAAGACGGUACCUGAGAAGGAAGCCACGGCAAACUACGUGCCAGCAGCCGCGGUAAUACGUAGGUGGCAAGCGUUGUCCGGAAUAACUGGGCGUAAAGCGCAUGUAGACGGCAUGAUAAGCCAAAUGUGAAAUGUAGGGGCUCAACCCCUACACUGCGAUUGGAACUGUCAAGCUUGAGUGCAGGAGAGGCAAAUGGAAUUCCCAGUGUAGCAGUGAAAUGCGUAGAGAUUGGGAGGAACACCAGUGGCGAAGGCGAUUUGCUGGACUGCAACUGACGUUGAGAUGCGAAAGCCAGGGGAGCAAACGGGAUUAGAUACCCCGGUAGUCCUGGCCGUAAACGAUGGAUACUAGGUGUAGAGGGUAUCGACCCCUUCUGUGCCGCAGUGAACGCAAUAAGU
rnacentral:rRNA from 1 species